GCUCCUUUGGAUCAAUUGGUAGAGCAUCAGUUUCGAAUUCUGAAGGUCACCAGUUCGAUCCGGGCAGGGAGCA
rnacentral:tRNA from 1 species